CAAGGAUGAAAGACGGUUUCGGCUGUCACUUACAGAUGGACCCGCGGCGCAUUAGCUAGUUGGUGGGGUAAUGGCUCACCAAGGCGACGAUGCGUAGCCGACCUGAGAGGGUGAUCGGCCACACUGGGACUGAGACACGGCCCAGACUCCUACGGGAGGCAGCAGUAGGGAAUCUUCCGCAAUGGACGAAAGUCUGACGGAGCAACGCCGCGUGAGUGAUGAAGGUUUUCGGAUCGUAAAGCUCUGUUGUUAGGGAAGAACAAGUGCGAGAGUAACUGCUCGCACCUUGACGGUACCUAACCAGAAAGCCACGGCUAACUACGUGCCAGCAGCCGCGGUAAUACGUAGGUGGCAAGCGUUGUCCGGAAUUAUUGGGCGUAAAGGGCUCGCAGGCGGUUUCUUAAGUCUGAUGUGAAAGCCCCCGGCUCAACCGGGGAGGGUCAUUGGAAACUGGGAAACUUGAGUGCAGAAGAGGAGAGUGGAAUUCCACGUGUAGCGGUGAAAUGCGUAGAGAUGUGGAGGAACACCAGUGGCGAAGGCGACUCUCUGGUCUGUAACUGACGCUGAGGAGCGAAAGCGUGGGGAGCGAACAGGAUUAGAUACCCUGGUAGUCCACGCCGUAAACGAUGAGUGCUAAGUGUUAGGGGGUUUCCGCCCCUUAGUGCUGCAGCUAACGCAUUAAGCACUCCGCCUGGGGAGUACGGUCGCAAGACUGAAACUCAAAGGAAUUGACGGGGGCCCGCACAAGCGGUGGAGCAUGUGGUUUAAUUCGAAGCAACGCGAAGAACCUUACCAGGUCUUGACAUCCUCUGACAACCCUAGAGAUAGGGCUUUCCCUUCGGGGACAGAGUGACAGGUGGUGCAUGGUUGUCGUCAGCUCGUGUCGUGAGAUGUUGGGUUAAGUCCCGCAACGAGCGCAACCCUUGAUCUUAGUUGCCAGCAUUCAGUUGGGCACUCUAAGGUGACUGCCGGUGACAAACCGGAGGAAGGUGGGGAUGACGUCAAAUCAUCAUGCCCCUUAUGACCUGGGCUACACACGUGCUACAAUGGACAGAACAAAGGGCUGCAAGACCGCAAGGUUUAGCCAAUCCCAUAAAUCUGUUCUCAGUUCGGAUCGCAGUCUGCAACUCGACUGCGUGAAGCUGGAAUCGCUAGUAAUCGCGGAUCAGCAUGCCGCGG
rnacentral:rRNA from 1 species